rnacentral:rRNA from 1 species
CUAGGUGGCGAUAGCGAAGAGGUCACACCCGUUCCCAUGCCGAACACGGAAGUUAAGCUCUUCAGCGCCGAUGGUAGUUGGGGGCUUCCCCCUGUGAGAGUAGGACGCCGCCAAGC